UGAACCUUUAAAUAUGCAAACCUUGUUUGAUUUACCCAAGUGAUGUCUUCAUCUGGUUGUUCAGUCAACCUGAGCCUAUUAUUCUCAUUUGUCGGAUUAGUAUGUGUGCAGAGCUAAACGUCUAAAAUAAUUCCAAGAUCUUUGAUUGCUGAUUAAAGAUUCCUUUCAAAGGAGGUGGGUAGAUUUAUUGUGAAACUGAUGCUCAGUGAUGGUUCUCAUCCUUGACCAAAAUGUAAGGCUCACAGGAACCUGCAAGAAAGGAUCACUUUCUAUCACAUCCACCUAAAAUUAUACUCUUAGACAUAUGACAUAUACUUAAACUAAGUUCUGCUAAGUAACUCACAUAGAAAAGAAAGUCUAGGGCAAAACAGGCAUAAAAAUUUAUGAAAUGUGAAAUGUGCUGCAGCAGUAAAACUUCCAGGAGAGUCUGUAGCAACAGAGCCUGACGUCCUUUUGUAUGUAAUAUCUUGAUAUGCUAUAUAUGAAAGGAAAAAACCAAAAGUAAUGUGGUACUAAUUUGAAGAUCUAGUUAUAGAUCUUUAGGAAUUAAUAAUCUCUGGAAAAUACUUUCAUCUGCAAUAUGUGACCUUAAAUUGACUUCCACUCAGCAGAAGGCUGCUCCUUGCCUUCCACUGUGUUUACGGUUGAUGGAGCCCUGACUCCAUUUCCAACAUCCAUUUAACCAUUUACCCGUAUAUUUUACUAAGGAGCACUCCUUUCCUUUUCAUUUUAUUAGCUUGCAGCUGUUUCGCUCUGUGGAUUCAGGCCAAAGGAAAAGAAUGAACAAGGUUAUUAUGUCUUUGAAACUUUUAAAAAGGCCAGUUCACUCUCAUAGCAAAGUCAUAUUUUUAGGGACAAUGUAGAUUUUUUUGGAUACAUUACUCCUUGACAUAAUUUAGCUAUUUUAAGGUUGCUACAGAUAUUUGGUAAGCUUUUUCUCUCAGUCGUUUUCUGCUUUGUGUAAUGCACCAACGCCCCUGUUCUGUAGUAGGGAGGGUUGAGUCACAAAAAGAACACAGUUCCUCUGACAGGGUCUCAUGGCGAGACAAUGGGACUCCAUCACUUAACCUUCUGGUUUCCACUCCUCCACAUAUAAUUAAAUUAGUCAACCUGCCUUAUCUUGGAACUACCAGUUAGGUCAGUUUUAUUUUUUUUUUGAGUCUGGGGAGUAAGUUUUAAAAAAAUGUUUUAAAGUAAACUCUUUGUUGAAAUGCAACGUCCACAGAAAAGCACACAGAUUUUAAAUUGUAUAGUUUGAUGAAUUUUCACAAACUGGACAUCCAUGUGUAAACAGUGCCAGUCAAGAAUAAUGACCCCAGAUGCCCGCUUUGCACCCCAACCCCAAGAGGUUCUAUGGCCGAGAUUUCCCUGCGAUAAAAGACAGAUUAACAAGAGAAAAACAAACGGAAAUUUAUUAACAUGCAUGCCUCAUUUAUACGUGGGAGAUGCUCGGGAAACCUGACUAAAACUCUCCAAAAUGGCCCAAGCUACCUCCUUGAACACCAUCUUCAGGGAGGACAAAAGAAAGAUGUUGAGGGUAGGAGAAGUAAGGAGGCCAGCUACGGAAAGUCAUCAGGAAAAACGCGGUGAGCGAGGGUGAGGUUGUUAGGCAGAUUUAAGUCUGUUCUUUCUCCAUUGAUAAGCGUUUCUUGUGGUUUGGAGUCAUCCUUCUCUUCCUGGCACAGAGAAGGAGACUCCUAAAAAUGGAGGUUUCCUUUACAAAACAGUAAAUUCUGCUCUGUAGAGCUUCUCUUGUGUCUGCUGUUUCUUAAAAAAUAAACAGCUCAGAAUAAUUCUUAUGCCAAAGAGACAUAUUUUGAGCUGGUAAGUCCUGCUCCCCUCCAGUCCUGCCUUUGAAACUUCUGUAAGAAUUUUCAGUCCAGAAGAUGAGUUGGUGGAUUUCUCCAGCUCAUUGAACCCGUUCCUUAGUCCUGAGAAUAGCUCAGUUCAGUUAACGAGUUGUGUCUCAUUUCAGGAGCUGGUGAUGCAGGCAGGCUCCCAAAGUUACACCUAUAUGAUUCGAGAAAUCAGGUAUUUAACAAAAGGCAUUUCUAUGGAAACAAAAGAAAAACGAAUGUUAAUGUUUGGAGCAGACUAUAAACCCAAUUUCUGAGUCCUGAGGGCGGCCAGUGAUUUAUAGAUGUUGGGCUCGAAGCACGUUUUGGAGUUUGAUUGUCUCUGGUGAUGUCAUCAGGUGCUCCGGUAAACUUUCUGAGUGCCUCAGCAACAAGCAUGCAGGUUGUCCAUACAUGAGCUGUUGCAGUGAUUUCUCUGAAGUUCCUAUCAAGUCGUCCAGCUUCAUUUUGCAGGGAAAAGGGCAGUGUUUGUUCUUAGUGACAAAGUCGGAAGGGUGGAAGAGAAUUGGAACUGUGAGCUUGGAGUGUCAUAGGCAGAUACUUGAGGGAACUAGAAAAAUUCAGGAUACAGUCCAGUUUGCAGGUAAAGAAUGAAACCUCAAAGACAAUUACCAGGACUAGAAUCUAGUAUUCACCAAAGAUGUGCUAGUGAACAUAAUUUUUCUCACAGACUGCUUAUUGGCAACAAGAGAAAAAAAAUGCCUAACUAUAAUGUGAACAACCUAGACCAACACCUUGACCAGGAGAUCAAAAUUAACUUCACAAAUGAGGAACAGAUGGCAUACACAUUGUGUGCCUCCAGAUGUGGUCGCCUGAGGACACAACAUCACUAAUGUACUAUUCUAGCUAGGAUGCAUAAUCUGAAACUAACCAUGAGGAAAUGUUAGACAAACUCAAAAUAAGGAAUAUUCAAGUUUUGAAAUGGAGGGCCAACUUGCUUCAACUAUACUCAGCUGUUUGUUUGCAAAAGUAGUUAGAUAAUGCAUUACUAAAACCCACCCUGUAGACAACAUCUCUGAGGCUUGGGUCACCAUGGUGACGAGUGGACUCCUUGGGUAUCAGGGGUAAAUAUGAUAGGAAAAUGGUUCAGAAAAAUAUGCAUAUUCUCUUUCUGAGUUUAAAACUCUCUCUCUAUUUAUCUAGAGAGACAGAGAUACAUGAAGGGAAUAAUGACCCACCAGAAUUGCAUAAAGAUUACUUU
ensembl:lncRNA